rnacentral:rRNA from 1 species
GACGAACGCUGGCGGCGUGCUUAACACAUGCAAGUCGAACGGAAAGGCCCUGCUUUUGUGGGGUGCUCGAGUGGCGAACGGGUGAGUAACACGUGAGUAACCUGCCCUUGACUUUGGGAUAACUUCAGGAAACUGGGGCUAAUACCGGAUAGGAGCUCCUGCUGCAUGGUGGGGGUUGGAGAGUUUCGGCGGUUGGGGAUGGACUCGCGGCUUAUCAGCUUGUUGGUGGGGUAGUGGCUUACCAAGGCUUUGACGGGUAGCCGGCCUGAGAGGGUGACCGGCCACAUUGGGACUGAGAUACGGCCCAGACUCCUACGGGAGGCAGCAGUGGGGAAUAUUGCACAAUGGGCGGAAGCCUGAUGCAGCAACGCCGUGUGCGGGAUGACGGCCUUCGGGUUGUAAACCGCUUUCGCCUGUGACGAAGCGUGAGUGACGGUAAUGGGUAAAGAAGCACCGGCUAACUACGUG